rnacentral:lncRNA from 1 species
AUUUGAUUCUCCUAAUUACUCUCAAAUCAGUAUUAUCUCUAUGAACAGGAAAACAAAAUCGGUGAGGUGCUAAGUAGCAAUCACACAGCUAGUAAGUGGCAGAGCAAGAAUUAAGACCUGGGAGCCAUAGAAAAAAGCCUGAGAGAAUCAAAAUGUUAGCAGUUGUCACCCCAGGGAAGCACUGGGGAGACCCAGGGAGAGGCUUCACUUUUUAAAACCGUAACCUCAACAAACAAACUCAGUUCUAAACCGCUGCUCAUUUUAUUUUAUUUUAAUAUUUGCAGGUAGGCUUUGGGAGGUACUUUUCAGAGAAUAAACUGAAAUAAUUAACAAAUGCCAGCACAGUGCCAGGCAGAAGGAAAGGCUGCUGGCUAAGUGACGGAUGCGCGUGUGGAGGCUGAGGCAAGGGGCGUCAGAGGGUGGGGCAGGGCUGGAGGAGCGUGAGUCACCAGCCCUGAGCUGCUGGUUUCCAGUCCUUUCUGCGCCUGGGCUGAGCUUCUCGCCUGCCUGCCCCGUCCCAGCAGCUUCAGAAGGUGGCUGGGGGCAGGCGUUUCUGGAGCUCCUGCUCCCUGUAAGACAGGUGAGGGAGGCCCCAGGGUGCAGACUAGGGCUUCCACUCCCACUCAACGCCCUUCCCUGCCCCCCGGAGCGGCUGCGAGCCUGCACGGAAACCUUGGGAAGGCAAGGCGGGCCUGGGAGGACAGAAGUGUAGACACCGCGGCCAGGAGUGUCCAGGUAUACAAUACAAUGACAUUCAUCAUUGGGAAUCUGUACCUUUACAAGAAAUGUCUCGUGCUGGGAGCGAUGUGCUGUAGAUCACUACGGACUGGCCUCCUCCCUCGGAGGGCAUGGGGGGAAGAGGGCGUGGCCACAGAAGCCAGAGAAACAUCAAGCACUGUCUCCUGCAGGCCAGAGCCACUCUCCCUGCUCCAAUCAGGCCUCCUCUUCCGGUUUCCUUAUCUACACUAUAAAUAAAGGUGCUGAGGACAAGGGCCAAGCUUUUUGUCUCAUCAGGACCAGGCGUUUCCACCUGGGCUCAGCUUUGUAAAUUUAACUGUGAAUUUGUCUUCUUUGUCUUAUUCUUUAAGUUUCUUAAUCUCUCACCAUCAUUUCUCACUUAGUGAACCCUUUAGCCACCUGGGCAGUGGCAAUAUUGGUUCUUAUUUUUCCCUCUUCCCCUACCCUCCCU